GGGGUUGUGGCUCAGUGGUAGUGCACUCGCCUGGCAUGUGUGUGGCACUGGGUUUAAUUCCCAGAACCACA
rnacentral:tRNA from 1 species